UUAGCGUCAGUAGCGAUUUUUUUAGUACUUUCACUGCGUAAAACAUUUGGACGAAUUAUAGAACUAUUGGAAACAACUGCAAAGCAACCACAAAAACCAUAAUAUUUGUUCUUUUUCUAAUAAAUUGAUCAGAAGCUCGGUUCCACCAGUAGCAAUCACAAUACUUUGCGUUGAUUCGUCUCGUAGAUUGUAGUCUACUAAUGCAGCCAAUGCGAUUGCCGUAGCUGUUUGAUUGCCCACCUGUAGUACUGCGUCAUCAGAUAAAGAUGUUGGAUUAUACCAUCUGUCUUCUUCAAACUCACUCAACGUCAUACUAUAACUUGAACUAUCAUCCGAUU